rnacentral:rRNA from 1 species
CAUAUCAAUAAGCGGAGGAAAAGAAACCAACAGGGAUUGCCUUAGUAACGGCGAGUGAAGCGGCAACAGCUCAAAUUUGAAAGCUGGCCCUUUUAGGGUCCGCAUUGUAAUUUGUAGAGGAUGAUUCGGCGAGGGCUCCUGCCUAAGUCCCCUGGAACGGGGCGUCAUAGAGGGUGAGAAUCCCGUAUGCGGUAGGUUGCCUUAGCCAUGUGAAUCUCCUUCGACGAGUCGAGUUGUUUGGGAAUGCAGCUCUAAAUGGGAGGUAAAUUUCUUCUAAAGCUAAAUACCGGCCAGAGACCGAUAGCGCACAAGUAGAGUGAUCGAAAGAUGAAAAGCACUUUGGAAAGAGAGUUAAAAAGUACGUGAAAUUGUUGAAAGGGAAGCGCUUGCAACCAGACUUGUCCGCAGUUGCUCAGCCGGUCUCCUGACCGGCGUACUCUUCUGCGGCCAGGCCAGCAUCAGUUCGGGCGGUCGGAUAAAGGCCUCGGGAAUGUGGCUCCUCUCGGGGAGUGUUAUAGCCCGGGGUGCAAUGCGGCCAGCCUGGACUGAGGAACUCGCUUCGGCAAGGAUGCUGGCGUAAUGGUUGUAAGCGGCCCGUCUUGAAACACGGACCAAGGAGUCUAACAUCUAUGCGAGUGUUCGGGUGUCAAACCCGUACGCGUAAUGAAAGUGAACGGAGGUGGGAACCCGCAAGGGUGCACCAUCGGCCGAUCCUGAUGUCUUCGGAUGGAUUUGAGCAAGAGCAUAGCUGUUGGGACCCGAAAGAUGGUGAACUAUGCCUGAAUAGGGUGAAGCCAGAGGAAACUCUGGUGGAGGCUCGCAGCGGUUCUGACGUGCAAAUCGAUCGUCAAAUUUGGGUAUAGGGGCGAAAGAC